CCUACGGGCGGCAGCAGUGAGGAAUAUUGGUCAAUGGACGAGAGUCUGAACCAGCCAAGUAGCGUGAAGGAUGACUGCCCUAUGGGUUGUAAACUUCUUUUAUAUGGGAAUAAAAUGUUCCACGUGUGGGAUUUUGUAUGUACCAUAUGAAUAAGGAUCGGCUAACUCCGUGCCAGCAGCCGCGGUAAUACGGAGGAUCCGAGCGUUAUCCGGAUUUAUUGGGUUUAAAGGGAGCGUAGGUGGAUUGUUAAGUCAGUUGUGAAAGUUUGCGGCUCAACCGUAAAAUUGCAGUUGAAACUGGCAGGCUUGAGUACAGGAGAGGUGGGCGGAAGUCGUGGUGUAGCGGUGAAAUGCUUAGAUAUCACGAAGAACUCCGAUUGCGAAGGCAGCUCACUGGACUGCAACUGACACUGAGGCUCGAAAGUGUGGGUAUCAAACAGGAUUAGAUACCCGGGUAGUC
rnacentral:rRNA from 1 species